GAACACGGAAGUUAAGACCUCCAGGGCCGAUGAUACUUGGGGCGCAAGCCCCUGGGAAAGUAGGUCAUCGCCAGGU
rnacentral:rRNA from 1 species